AUGACGGGUAUCCGGCCUGAGAGGGUGAACGGACACACUGGAACUGAGUCACGGUCCAGACUCCUACGGGAGGCAGCAGUAGGGAAUAUUGCUCAAUGGGGGAAACCCUGAAGCAGCAACGCCGCGUGGAGGAUGAAGGUUUUAGGAUUGUAAACUCCUUUUGUUAGAGAAGAUAAUGACGGUAUCUAACGAAUAAGCACCGGCUAACUCCGUGCCAGCAGCCGCGGUAAUACGGAGGGUGCAAGCGUUACUCGGAAUCACUGGGCGUAAAGAGCGCGUAGGCGGGAUAGUCAGUCAGGUGUGAAAUCCUAUGGCUUAACCAUAGAACUGCAUUUNAAACUACUAUUCUAG
rnacentral:rRNA from 1 species